AUAACAAUCGUCCGGAGCAUAAGAACAAGCAGCUGUCUUACAUUGCCAUAAACAUCAUUGUUGCUACUAAUGCCGUCCUCUGUGUAUUAAAGAUGCAACAUCGCCAAUGUUUAUGCAUAAGACAACGUCGUGAACAUGCUGUUGACUCGGUUGGCCAGUAAAAUAAUUUCGCAUUUACCACAGCGCCGCAUGCACAUGGAAUACUGAUACAAACCACAGUUUAAGUAUGCUUGUGUGCCGCAGGGAAAAUGAAAAAAAUAAAUAAAUAAACUAAAUUGUAAAGAAAUGCAGUUGAGGUGCAGCUAAGUAUUCAAAACAUCAAGAUAACAACACGAAACACAAAGCGAUUUUAUUGCACUUAGCACACUAGAGAGUACUCAAGUACUACCGUGGAAUAUUUCUAUUUGAAUUCAUGAAAUACACACCUUCACGCAUUACUGCUCCUUAUUUGCGUGUACUUGUAUGCAGCUUGUGUUGUCUUUGUGUGACCUUUGAUUGCGGGUCGAUAUUUGCUUUACUAUGCCACGGCUCAAGGAUACACUUACAACAACAACAAUAAUAUUCCAAUUUCCAACACAAAAUAUUUCAGGCACCAAUUGUGUAAAUAUUAUGCAAAUUUGAUACGACUAAAUGAAUUUUUAUUGCAGCGAUGAAAAAGAAAGUGUCGCCAU